ensembl:snoRNA
GGGGUGAGCUCAGAGCAGGCCACCUGAUGAAAUGGCUCCUCUGUUUACAACACACCCAACGGGACUCUGGGUGCAUUGUGACAAGGGGCACAAACUUGUGGCCUUCCUAUGAACAGAUACCCUACACGU